rnacentral:rRNA from 1 species
UACGAAGGUCCCAAGCGUUGUUCGGAAUCACUGGGCGUAAAGGGAGCGUAGGCGGCGUGGUAAGUCAGAUGUGAAAUCCCGGGGCUCAACCCCGGAACUGCAUCCGAUACUGCCAUGCUAGAGGAUUGGAGAGGUGACUGGAAUUCUCGGUGUAGCAGUGAAAUGCGUAGAUAUCGAGAGGAACACUCGUGGCGAAAGCGAGUCACUGGACAAUUCCUGACGCUGAGGCUCGAAGGCUAGGGUAGCGAAAGGG